CCUACGUGAGGCAGCAGUAGGGAAUCUUGCUCAAUGGGGGAAACCCUGAUGCAGUAACGCCGCGUGGAGGAUGAAGGUUUUCGGCUUGUAAACUCCUUUUGUUAGAGACGAUACUAAUGGUAUUUACCGAAUAAGCACCCGCUAACUCCGAGCAAGCAGCCGCGGGAUUACGGAGGGUGCAAGAGUGACUCGCAAGCACUCGGCGUAAAGAGCGCGUAGGCGGGAUGGGAAGACAGAUGUGAAAUCCUAGGGCUUAAUCAUAGAAGUGAAUUUGAAACUGGUAUUCUAGAGUAUAGGAGAGGGAGGUGGAAGUGUUGGUGUAGGGGUGAAAUGCGUAGAGAUCAGGAAGAAUACUCGUGGCGAAGGCGACCUGCUGGAACAAAACUGACGCUGAGGCGCGAAAGCGUGGGGAGCGAACAGGAUUAGAUACCCCAGUAGUC
rnacentral:rRNA from 1 species